UGGCCACAUUACAUUGAAACAUCAGUUCCUGUACAAUCAGCAAAGUUAAGCAACAUUGGGUAUGGUUAGUACCAAGAUGGGUGACCACUUGGGAAUACCAGGUGCUGUUA